rnacentral:rRNA from 1 species
AGCAGUAGCCGCGGGAAAACGAGGGGUGCAAGCGUUAUUCGGAUUGAUUGGGUGUAAAGGGUGUGCAGACGGCUUAUUAAGUCACUUGUUAAAUUCUUCGGCCUAACUGAAGGUCUGCAAGUGAUACUGAUGAGCUAGAGGGUGGAAGAGAGAAGUGGAAUUCUCGGAGUAGCGGUAAAAUGCGUAGAUCUCGAGAGGAACACCAAUGGCGAAAGCAGCUUCUUGGUCCAUUCCUGACGUUCAUACACGAAAGCGUGGGGAGCAAACAGGAUUAGAUACCCCCGUAGUCCCUGUCUCUUAUAC